rnacentral:rRNA from 1 species
GAUGAACGCUAGCUACAGGCUUAACACGUGCAAGUCGAGGGGCAGCAUUUCAGUUUGCUUGCAAACUGGAGAUGGCGACCGGCGCGCGGGUGAGUAACACGUAUCCAACCUGCCGAUAACUCGGGGAUAGCCUUUCGAAAGAAAGAUUAAUACCCGAUGGCAUAAUUAGACCGCAUGGUCUUAUUAUUAAAGAAUUUCGGUUAUCGAUGGGGAUGCGUUCCAUUAGGCAGUUGGUGAGGUAAACGGCUCACCAAAACCUUCGAUGGAUAGGGGUUCUGAGAGGAAGGUCCCCCACAUUGGAACUGAGACACGGUCCAAACUCCUACGGGAGGCAGCAGUGAGGAAUAUUGGUCAAUGGACGAGAGUCUGAACCAGCCAAGUAGCGUGAAGGAUGACUGCCCUAUGGGUUGUAAAACUUCUUUUAUAAAAGGGAAUAAAAGUCGGGGUAUAGGGAUAACCCCGUUUGCAUGUACUUUAUGAAUAAGGAUCGGCUAACUCCGUGCCAGCAGCCGC